AACGAACGCUGGCGGCAUGCUUAAUACAUGCAAGUCGAACGAGAAAGUACCUUCGGGUGCGAGUAGAGUGGCGCACGGGUGCGUAACACGUAGGUGACCUACCUUUAAGUCGGGGACAACAUCGGGAAACUGAUGCUAAUACCGGAUGUGGAAAUUAAUUUUGAAAGUAAAUUUCUAAAGGGGGCUUCGGCUCUCGCUUGAAGAAGGGCCUGCGGAACAUUAGCUUGAUGGUGGGGUAAUGGCUUACCAUGGCUACGAUGUUUAGGGGGUCUGAGAGGAUGAUCCCCCACACUGGAACUGAGACACGGUCCAGACUCCUACGGAGCAGCAGUAGGGAAUAUUGCGCAAUGGGCGAAAGCCUGACGCAGCAAUGCCGCGUGAGUGAGGACGGCCUUCGGGUUGUAAAGCUCUGUCAUAUGGGAAGAACAAGGUUAUGGUUAAUACCCAUAACCCCUGACGGUACCAUAGAAGAAGCACCGGCUAACUCGUGCCAG
rnacentral:rRNA from 1 species